rnacentral:lncRNA from 1 species
GUAAAAGUUAACUAAAAAAAUUGUUUUUAUCCAAAAAAAAGCAUCUAAAAGUGUUUCUUUUUCGUCUUUUUUAAUGAUUUUUUUUUUCAAAUUAGAUGAAAACUUUUACAUUUUCAGACUCUAGUCGUCAAGAGACUCUAAAAAUAUAAAAUUUUGAUCAAACGAUAAAAAAAAUUCAUUAAAUACAAAAAACAUAAAAAUCAAAAGCCAAAGCAAUUAAAAAAGUAAAAAAAAAUUAAAUCACAAACAUAUCAUCAUCUCUCUCUUUAAAAAAAAAUUGGUCAAGGAGUAAACAGUACCUUCCAGAUGUGGGAAAGCAUUGUAGCAAAACUUGAAAUAGACAGAUAGGACUUUACUUUUUGCGUUUUUACUCUCUAAUUUGUUUAAAUGAAUGCUCUAAAGUGGCCGUUUUACCGGCUUUAGCUAACAACAGGCUGUGACCCCAUCUUUCUCGUUCUUAGAAAUUCGUAACGGGCUAUGAUAUCACUUUGUUGUGAUAAGAGAAUAUUCUAACUCACUCAAAUAGUUAGAAGAAAAAUGGGAGAGAAGCUUUGAACUCUUUCAUCCCGUUAAACUGAAGCCGCAAAAAGGUUAGAUUACACGGGUAAUGUAGGACCUAGACUCGUAAGAGCAUAUCGAGCAAGACUUCUUUUUUUUUCUUCAAAUUUUAAUAAAAUAAGGGAUUCAUUAAUUUUAGGAGAACACUUUCUGAUUACCUUCUCCAUAUAUUUCCUACUCUUUCUCUAUUUUCUUUAAAUAUUAUUUUUAUUUCGUAAUUAGAUUACUUUUUCCAUUUUUUCUCUCCUCUAUUCCCAUGCCCCUAUGUCAUCACAAACCCAGAUCAAAACACAACACUCGUACAGAAACCCAGCAAAUCAAAAAUCAAAAUUCUCAUCCCUCUUGAGAGAAUUGAAAAAGAAUCAAAUGUGGUGCAAAUCACUCAUCUGCAUCUUCUAUCAAUUGAAGGGGUAUUGCAGGCUCAAGGAUAGUGAAGAACUUCAGAGUUCAUAGAAGAAAAAAUAAGCAUCCUCCUAUUUUUCACUUUGAAAUAAACUAUGAUCUCUGAAAUUAAAAGGUCAGUUUCCUCCCUAGGGAAAUUGAACAAGAAAAAAAUCGAAAAUACAAUAAAUAAAAAUAAAAAUUCAUUGUGAAUGGAACCUCAAACCAUUUCUGCACAGAAUGAAAUCCUAGGGUGUUCUGUAGGAGAGAGAGGAGAGGAGAGAGAGUGAGGAUAUUCGUUUUUUACUCUUAGCCCGUUUGGCUGAGGGAUAUGAGAGGGGGAUAACUUUU